rnacentral:rRNA from 1 species
ACGGGUGAGGAAUACGUCGGAAUCUGCCUAUUUGUGGGGGAUAACGUAGGGAAACUUACGCUAAUACCGCAUACGACCUACGGGUGAAAGCGGAGGACCUUCGGGCUUCGCGCAGAUAGAUGAGCCGACGUCGGAUUAGCUAGUUGGCGGGGUAAAGGCCCACCAAGGCGACGAUCCGUAGCUGGUCUGAGAGGAUGAUCAGCCACACUGGAACUGAGACACGGUCCAGACUCCUACGGGAGGCAGCAGUGGGGAAUAUUGGACAAUGGGCGCAAGCCUGAUCCAGCCAUGCCGCGUGUGUGAAGAAGGCCUUCGGGUUGUAAAGCACUUUUGUCCGGAAAGAAAAGCAUUGGGUUAAUACCCCGAUGUCAUGACGGUACCGGAAGAAUAAGCACCGGCUAACUUCGUGCCAGCAGCCGCGGUAAUACGAAGGGUGCAAGCGUUACUCGGAAUUACUGGGCGUAAAGCGUGCGUAGGUGGUUUGUUAAGUCUGAUGUGAAAGCCCUGGGCUCAACCUGGGAAUGGCAUUGGAAACUGGCUGACUAGAGUGCGGUAGAGGGU